rnacentral:lncRNA from 1 species
UAGAAACCUCUGGAAAGAGAGGAGAUUGCAGUGAAGCCCCAGGGUCCUGAUUGUAGCUGGAGGUGCUUCAUGAUUUUUACUUACUUCCUCAUCUCUCCACUCCUGGUUACUUUUUGGAUUUCCUGUUCCAUUUCCUGCUUUCAUAGAAGCCUAAUUUUUAAUAUUAAAAUUUCAGUCAGCUGAAGAAAGGCAAUCUGUCUUCUCCUUCACACAGUUUAUGUCUUGAAGGAUUUCUCUAAUCUAUUCCAGCAGCGAGUUAAAGGAAAGUUUUAUUUAACCCCUGCACCAAUGCCUACAAUUGCUACUUGCCAACAUUUCAUUACUUCUUGCAGAAUGUAAGUGCCUGUGUCUAAAAAUGAAACAUUCUAGAGAUCAGAGCCCUUCAUGACACCAGCUCUCUGCUGUGCCUGUGGCCACCUGAUGUUGGAUACUGGAUGAUAUUGCAGAGCGACGGAGCAUCUAUGUGGAGGAGAGUUUUCUUCCCAGACCAAACCAAGAUAGUACCUGCCCAACAUACUUCCUCCUCCUCUUUCCUCUGCGGCUGUCUUACACCAACUUGCGAUCUGUUUUGUGGUUCCAGCCCAAUGGGCUCAUCAGUUUAUUCAGCUGGCUUUUAAAAUGGCCUCAUUUUUCCUGUCGUGGGGAAAGAGGCCACAGUGUAACCGGAGGAAAAUGACUGGCGGCCCUUCCGCGUGGCAUUUUAAAUCUGCAGUUCUCCCCGUGGUGACAGUGCCCAGGGGACAGUCAGGGCCACCCCUGCUUAUGC